ensembl:snRNA U6 U6 spliceosomal RNA
UGGCUCACUUCAGCAGCACAGAUACUAAAAUUAGAACAAUACAGAGAAGAUUGGCUUUGCCCCUAAGCAAGGAUGACAACAGAGGUGUGAAGCAUUCCAUAUUUUC